rnacentral:lncRNA from 10 species
CUCUUGGCUGGCUGGGGCUGAUUAUUAUAAAGUACAACCUUUGUGAGAGGGAAGACUGACGUUCAAAGAAGUGAAGCAACUCACCCAGCGAAUAAGUGAGUAGAACAAGGGCUAACACCCAAGUCUUCUUAGUUCUCAGACAAAUGCUCCUGCCUCUUCAUUAUGCCUCCGAGAUAAGGUGAGCUGCUUCCAGAGCAGUUAGCAUCAUACAUAGAAAACUGUUCAUUGUCAGUAUCUGACCUCUAGCCCCAACCACUUAUCAACAGCCAGUCAUAACCACAGCUGACCCUUUAUCUUGACUACAAGCUUGCUUUAC